CUUGAAGAGGUGAAGCUUUGUAUUAAGCAGACUGGAAUCACCAAGUAGGAGAAAAAUGUGUGACAGGGUGACUGAGGUUUCAUCUACAUGUCUGCAAAUGGGCAUUUCAUGGCUGGCAAGGUGUCACUGCCCAUUUGUGGGCUGGAGAAGCCCACCGAUACGUCCAUGGUUCCAAAGUACCUCCUCAAGGCCACCAGCGCAUAUCUACAGGAGCCCCAUAAUGCUGGAAUUCCAGCUNUGGAAGGAAGUGUGGCUGGAAUUCUGACUGUUGAGUUGGCUUNCGGCUGGGUCACCAGGCCAAAUGCCAGCCUGCAGUCGACUCUGCAGGAAGNGGUGUCCUGUUGAGAAAAGCCUAGAUGAGAUACAACAAGAGAAAGUGAUGCUUGCCUGAGAAGAUAC
rnacentral:lncRNA from 1 species